rnacentral:snoRNA from 17 species
CUACAGGGAUGAUUUACGAUUUGAACUCUCUCUUUCUGAUGGUUUAGUGGAGAAAAUGUAAAAGUUCUGAGUAGC